rnacentral:misc_RNA from 1 species
GCCCUCUACACGCCGUCCCUCCUGCUCCUGCUCUCCACACGCCGCCGGAGAAACGCGACGGAACGCCCAGCACGGGCUGCACGGCAGGUCGGCACUCGGCAGCACAUCCCUCCCGGUGGUCCGGCCCUCCGCCGUCCCAGCACGACAGCACUUCCGGCGACCAGGUCCCAGGCUCCCAGCGUCCGGCGGUCCCAGCAGUCUAGCACGGCAGUCGACAGCACUUCGGGACCACGGCUCCACGCGUUCUGCUGUGCAGGUUCUAGCAUUCUGCUGUCCAUGGCUCCGCGCGUCCAGGAGGUGACCACCAGACCAAGCCUCCGCCGUCCAGACCAGGGGGCAGGGGCUGGAUUUACAUGGCUCAAGACUUAGGUUCUAGCUUGUUGAGGUAUACAAACAAGUCCGAAUUGGGGAUCCGUUGGAGAAAGGCACCUUACUGGGACCAGUGCACACUCCUGCUUCAAAAGAGAACUUUUUGAAAGGCAUUCAGACUAUCAAAUCUCAGG